rnacentral:lncRNA from 1 species
CUUUCUUAGACACAGUGAAUUAGAACUGAUAAGAAACAGGGAUGUGAUCUGGAAAUCUGUAUUUUUAACAAGUUCUCCCAGAUGCUCCCGACACGAAGCUGGAUCAGCAAUAUUCUCCCAGGAAGCUGAGGUCAAGUCAUGUUCCCAGGACUUCACUGUUGCUAAGGCCUCACUCACAGGAACGCACGACUGCCUCUUCCUAAGAGUCCUGAAACGCUACAUUUGAACAAAGUACUUCUCCAGGCUAAAUUCCUUCAAUUUACAGGACUUUUUAUCUCAUUAAAAAUACCUUACUGAUCUAGUGAUGAUUAACUGUUCACAUAGUUCUCGACUGGAUGGCAAAGGGUGAAAACUCCCCUCACCCCUUCCUUUUUUCUCUCCCUCUGCCUAUUAAUACCAAUGCAGCCCUAAUAUCAGGGAAGGCCGGCAUGACUGUUUG